CAAAGUAGGUACACGAAAUACUAGCUGGUACUAUUGUAAGUCUUCUUCUUUAUGUGCCUCUCCAUUACUGAAGGUCAGUAGUCAGUUUUUUAAACUUCUCCUUGUCCAUGGCUAGCCGGAAUAGUUCUCCUACUGUUUUUAUGCCAGUCCACUCCCUUAUGUUACGUAGCCAUGACUUCUUCCUUCUUCCCACCCCUCUUUUUCCAGCAAUUUUUCCCAUCAUAAUUA